AUCGGAGAUUUCGGUUUUGUUUCUGGUUUUUUUUUUUUUUUUUUUUUUUUUUUUUUUUUUUUUUUCCUUUUACCUGAGAUCCUCACUUUGGCCAGCUGAGCUGACUUUUUAGCAAGGUGGAAGCUGUCUCCUUUGCUCCACCCAGGGCCAGCUGUUGAAUGGCUACACCUGUCAGCGCUGAGCAACAGAUGUCCAAGGGUAUAAGCAGUCAUGGAUGAAUCCUAUAUUGUGAGAAAUGAGGACGAGAGAAAACACCAGAAAACAAUGCAAAACCUGUGACAUAGGAGAGGACUUUUUUAGUAUUAAAAGGCUACAGUAUUGUGUUUGAUUGUCCCGUGUAUUUUUCAAAACAUUUUCCUGAAAGCCUGCCUUAUGGAAUCUUACCACACCCCUGCAGGUAAGGGAAGGUGGUCUCAUCUAAUAGUGGAAGGAACUGUGGCCCAAGUGGGUGAGGUACUUGCCCAAGGUCAAGUAGCUAGUUCAGUGACACAUUUUGGAUGUAGUGCUCUGGGAAAAUAAGGACUGUUUUUAUUUAAUCUUUGUAUUCUCUGUGCAUCCAGCACAGUGUCAGGGCCAUAGUAGAGCUUGGUGAAUGACCCUUGCCUCCCAUAUUGGUUGAUUUCAGUUUAUUAUGUGCUCAGUAUUUUGCUCAGGACUACGGUGAAGACAACAUAAAUAAUGACUUUGUGAGCUGCAGAUGUGGCUCACUGCCCACCCUGCCCACACUUUUCUUUCUUAAGGAAUAUUCUCCUUGGAUAGCUCCUGCUGCCUGCAGGGCCUUGUUCUGAACUGCAACCCCUUUGGCUCGGCUGAUGAGGGAGUAGGAUGGGCUCGACUCAGGGGCAGACACUCCAUAGUGGCACAGACACUUGUAACCUUGUGGUUUGGCUCAGAAAGCUUCUCUGUGGUGAUCCUCUGUCUUGUGCAAAGAGUGAAGCUUCGAGUGGGAGGGGAAAAUGGAAGCAGAAAGGGGCAUAGGUGAAUAGGGUAGUAGAGAAGAGAAGAGCCGGCUCUAAUGGGUCACAUGAUUGCUGACAUGAGGAAACAGGAACUAUGGUGAAGAGAGAAAAAUAGGGGAGAGAAUGCACUGGGUGGAGAGAAUGGUGCAGAGAUACUGAGAAGAGGUAGCCCAACCUUGGAAACCACCCCCACCCUGAGUUGGCUAGUCCCCGUUCCCAAGUACUGUCAGAAUUAGCUCUUUUUUCCCUUGAAGUGACUUAAAUAGGUUUCUGUUCCCUGCAGCCAAAUUGGCCAGAUGUGUGGCUGUCCUGUGUGCAAGUUAUUUACAUCCAAAUGGGGUCUAAAGAACUUACAUGAAAUAAGGAAUAAAUAAUCUAGGAGAGGAUAUUAUUAAUAGAACAUUGUGUUUGCUAUGGGUGACAUAGUUCCCAUUGGAGGUCAGGACUUAGAGCAUGAGGCCUGCUCAGGAACACUUCACUGAGAAAUAAUUUGGGAUGAGUGCUUCCCAAACUUUAAGGUGCAUAGGACUUAUCUGGGGAUCUUGUUAGGUAUAGAUUCUAAAUCAAUAGUUCUGGGGCUCAGAUAAUGCUAGAUGGCUCUGGUCUUCAGGUGUGAGUAGCACACAAUAUCCAAAGGAUAUUGUCUUUUGUUUUUUUCUUUUCUUUUUCUUCUUUUUUUUUUUUUUAGUAGUUGGGAGAGUACUGAAGGUAGAGAGUAACCAAUUGAAAAAAAUAGUGAAUGUUAAACAUGGCUUAUUUGAGAGAUCUUAAGGAAAUUGGCCAGGAGCAGAGGGAAACUUGGAAGGAAUAGAAUAUAAAUUUGGAUAGGUAGAUUCCUGCUAGAUUAUAGGCCAUUUCAAAUGCCAAGAUGAGUCAUUUGGAUAUAGAAUCAAGUAUUUGAAGAUCUUAGAGUUUCUAAUCCAUUUCUCAUUCAAGCAUGAUGCCAGUGCAUAGUAUAUAACAGGCCCAGUUAGGAGCCAAAUCAUCAUAGGGGAAUGACAUCCACAAAGAAGUAUCUUAGAAAGAUACAUUCUGGAAGCCUGUUGGAUAUUUUGGACAGAAUGGCACUGUAGAUAGACUCUGUCAUUAAGGGAAAAAAAAAAAAAAGAAAGGAAAAGAAAAAGUCUAGUAAUGACGAAGGGCAGGAGUAGUUUUGGAGUGGAGCAGUGAAGAUGGGAAGGGAGGAAUCACAGAUUAUUUCUAAGUAAAACAUAAACUCAGGUGAGCAGUAUCCCUUGAGCUCCUAUAAGUACUAUUCCUAGUACUUGGGAUGCAUCAGUGAAUAGAAUAGAAAAAGCCCAGCUCUGGAGGUCCUUACAUUUUAGUGAGGCAAGAGACCAAACACAAUACAUUAACAAAUACAGGAUUCAUUAUGUAGUAAGUACUAUGGGAAAUAUAACAAGAAGGUAGUGUGUUAAGGUUGGUGGAUGGAUUCCAACUUCAAAUAGAUUGGUUAGGUUGGCCUUCACUGAAAAAAGACGUGGUGGAAAUGGAAGAGUUCGCCUUGUGAGGAUCUAGGGAAAGAGUGUUCCAGGCAGAGGAAACAGUCACAGCAGAGAUCCCCAAGGCAAGAGAGUCAGGAGGGUUAAAGGAAGAGUGUAGGGGAGAUUAGUAGGAAAAGAAGUUACAAAGGUCAUACCAUAGGACAUAGCAAUAUAGGACAGGAGACAAAUGGAUAAAAUGAAAGGAGGUUCUCAAGGGGUAAUUUUAAAUUUUAAUGUUUGUAAGAUCUCAGGUAUCUCAUUAAAACUGUAAUUUCCUGAGUUACUCAUAAAGAUUUUCUUCAUUUAGGACUAGGAAACUACAUUCUUAAUGAAACUGUUAGGAUGUUCUGGUAUAGAUGAAACACAUUUUGAGGAACUCUGCUUUAGUCUUAAAACUGAUUGGGAAAAAUCUAUGAAAAGAUAAGGAAAUUGAGAAGGAGGGUCAAUACAAUAAGACGUAGGAAUUGUGGGAUAUCCAAAAGGACGUGUUUUGAUGAUACUUAAACUUGGAGGUUCGAUGUGGGCAAAAUCAAAGGGCAAUCUUUAGUUCAGAAGUAAUAGUUGAAACCCUGAUAGUAGAUAUAUUUUCCAGAAAGCAAAACAGGAUAAAGCAAAAAGCUAAGAAUUCUGAAUUUCUUCAUUUUUACCCUGGCUGAACCAAAUGGAUUUCUCAGUACAACAUUAGGAGUGCUAAAAAGAGAGACUGAAAUUACAGUGGAUUACACACAGUUUUUUCACCCUAGUAUGGAGGUAGGCAGUAUAGGUCAGUAAUCAUUCAUGCUCAAUUCAUGAAGUCAGAAGGGACAUUGUUUCUGUGCCUUUGCUUCAGCAUCUUCCAUGAAGUCAUAAGAUGGUUGCUGGACUUCCAGUCAUCAUGGAAAAGCUCCAGAUAGGGAAAGAUAACACACACACACACACACACACACACACAC